rnacentral:rRNA from 1 species
AUGCAGCGCGAUGCAGAGGCGGGGAGCAGAGGCAACAGCAGGAACGGCAAGGGCAGCGGCCCUCCGGAUCUGGCUGGCGCGAGUAUGGACGGCCACGCGACGAGAGGCGGUGCUGGAGCUUCGAGGCCUAGGUGGUUCGGGCAUCCAUGGACUCCUGAAGCUCCUGUUCAUCUGAAGAAACAGAGAGGCAGUGAGGUAAGGAAGCGAGAAGAACCGGGAGAAGAAGGAAAUAGAAAGAGAGGCGUGAGGAUCUGGUCCGCCAGCGGUCUGCAGGUGCGGGUGCAGGAGGAGCUCAGGGCUUUGGUGCAGCUCGGGCGCAGUGGAGCUCCACGCGGCUGCGGGCUGGAGGUCGAAGAAGAGCUCCUCUCUUUGGGUUCGGGUGAGGCAAGGAGGAGGAAUCGCUCGGGUAGGAGAUGGCCAGGGAUCGAGUGGAGGCGCUGGGAGGUGGAUUUGGAUCGGGGUGAGGUGGAGGCUGCCGGUUGGGGUGGUGCUGAAAACGAAGGAGGAAGUGGUGGCUGGCAGUGGAUCGGGGAAGAUCCCGAGGUGGAAGAGAACUGGCGGCGGCGGCGGCUGAGGGGAUUUGGUGGAUGGGACAAGGCUCCUAAAUUCUAG